rnacentral:rRNA from 1 species
UACGGAGGGAGCAAGCGUUACUCGGAAUUAUUGGGCGUAAAGGGCGCGUAGGCGAUUUGAAAAGUCUUGUGUGAAAGCCCCGAGCUUAACUCGGGAAGUGCACAAGAAACUGUUGAAUUUGAGUUCCGGAGAGGAAGCGGAAUUCCCGGUGUAGUGGUGAAAUGCGUAGAUAUCGGGAGGAACACCAGUGGCGAAGGCGGCUUCCUGGCCUGUUCUUGACGCUGAGGCGGCGAAAAGCCUGAGGGGGAGCAAACGGGG